AACGUAGGUACCGAGCGUUAUCCGGAUUUACUGGGCGUAAAGCGUGUUCAGGCGGCCUGGCAAGUCGGGCAUGAAAUCUCUCGGCUCAACCGAGAGAGGCUGUCCGAUACUGCUGGGCUUGAGGACGGUAGAGGGUGGUGGAAUUCCGCGUGUAGUGGUGAAAUGCGUAGAUAUCUGGAGGAACACCGGUGGCGAAGGCGGCAUCCUGGACCGGUAUUGACGCUGAGGAGCGAAAGCCAGGGGAGCAAACGGG
rnacentral:rRNA from 1 species